CGGGGCGUAGCUCAACUUAGUGGAGCGCUGCGCUUGGGACGCAGAGGUUGUAGGUGCGAAUCCUGCCGCCCCGA
rnacentral:tRNA from 1 species